rnacentral:misc_RNA from 1 species
AAGUCGUAACAAGGUUUCCGUAGGUGAACCUGCGGAAGGAUCAUUAUUGAAUAAAUCUGACGUGGUUGUCGCUGGCUCCCACGGGAGUAUGUGCACGCCCGUCACCUUUAUUUCUCCACCUGUGCACACACUGUAGGCCUGGAUACCUCUCGUCGCAAGGCGGAUGCGUGGCUUGCUGUCGCUUUCGAAAGAAGGCCGGCUUGCCAUGAAUUUCCAGGUCUAUGAUUUCUUACACACCCCAAACUGAAUGUUAUGGAAUGUCAUCUCAAGGCCUUGUGCCUAUAAACCUAUACAACUUUCAGCAACGGAUCUCUUGGCUCUC